ensembl:lncRNA
GGUUUGGUGGGCAUUUAUCCUGUUCCUUUAUCUGCUGAGUAUUCCUCUGUCUCUUCAUCUUGUUUAAAUUGCUGAGUUUGGGGUGUCCUUUCUGUAUUCUGGCAGUUUGUGGAGUUCUCUUUAUUAUGGCGUUUCCUCACUGUGUGUGGGUUUGUACAGGUGGCUUGUCAAGGUUUCCUGGUUAGGGAAGCUUGUGUCGGUGUUCUGGUGGGUGGAGCUGUAUUUCUUCUCUCUGGAGUGCAAUGAAAUGUCCAGUAAUGAGUUAUGAGAUGUCUAUAGUUUUGGGGUGACUUUGGGCAGCCUGUAUCUUGAAGCUCAGGACUGUGUUCCUUUGUUGCUGGAGAAUUUGCUUGGUAUGUCUUGCCCUGGAACUUAUUGGCCCUUGUGUGGUGCUUGGUUUCAGUGUCGGUAUGGAGGCAUUUGAUGAGCUCCUGUCAAUGAAUGUUCCUUGGAGUCAGGAGUUCCCUGGAGUCAGGGUUUGGACUUAAGUCUCCUGCUUCCGAUUAUCAGUCUUAUUUUUACAGUAGUUUCAAAACUUCUCCUUCUAUACAGCACCAUUGAUAAAACAUCUACAUUAAAGAUGAUAAGUUUCUCUACAGUGAGGGUCACUCAGAGAGGUUCACAGGGUUACAUGGAGAAGAGAAGAGGGAGGAAGGAGUUAGAGGUGACCCAAAUGAGAUGAGGUGAAUCAAUAGUGGAGAGAGUGGGCUAGCCAGUAGUCACUUCCUUAUGUGCACUCCACAACUGGACCACUCAGAGAUGUUCACGGGGUUCUCUUCUCACAGAGAAGAGAAGAAGGAGGAAGGUAACAGAGGUGGCCAGAAGGAUAAAAGGGGGGAAUGAAAAGGAGGGAGACAGAUCCAGCCAGUAAUCAGUUCCCUAAGUGUUCUCCACCGUCUGGAACACACAGAAAUUCACAGAGUUGGGUAGAGUAGAGAGGGGUUAGGGAGGAGACACAGGCGACCUGGUGGAGAAAAAGGAGGGUCCAAAGGGAGAGAGAGCAGUCAAGCCAGUAAUCUCACUCCCUAGUGAAAAAUGGGUCCUGAAGAUUGGGUCCUUAAAGGUACAAAAUUGGUAACAAAUACAUAAAAGCAAAAAUUAAAAAUCUAGAGUAGAGUUUGGAAUUUCAAAAAUACGAUGUUAAAGAAAAGAAGAAGGAAAAGAAAGAGAGAAAGAACGAACAAACAAAAACAAACAAGGUCGCGAAAAUUAUAAAGAAAGUACAGGUACAAAAUUGAUAACUAAUACCAGAGAGCGAAAAUUAAAAAUCUAGAGUAGAGUUUGGAAUUUCAAAAAUACGAUGUUAAAGAAAAGAAGAAGGAAAAGAAAGAGAGAAAAAACGAACAAACAAAAACAAACAAGGUCACGAAAAUUAUAAAGAAAGUACAGGUACAAAAUUGAUAACUAAUACCAGAAAGCAAAAAUUAAAAAUCUAGAGUAGAGUUUGGAAUUUCAAAAAUACAAUGUUAAAAAAAAAAAAAAAGAAGAAGAAGAAAAAUAAAGAGAGAAAACAAACAAACAAAUACGAACAAUGUCACAAAAAUUAUAAAGAAAAUACAGGUACAAAAUUGAUAUCAAAUACCAAAAAGCAUAAAUUGAAAAUCUAGAGUAAAGUUUGGAAUUUCAGAUAUACAAUGUUAUAUAAAAGAAGAAGAGAAAGAAACAGAGAAGAAGAAGAAAAAAAAAAUCACAGAAAUUAUAUAAAAAAAAACUGUAGGUACAAAAUUGAUAACAUAUACCAAAAAGCGAAAAUUAAAAAUCUAGAGUAGAGUUUGGAAUUUCAAAAAUACAAUGUUAAAGAAAAGAAGAAAAAAACAAAAACAAACAACAACAACAAAAAAAAACAAGGUCAAAAAAUUAUAAAAUAUAUAUAUAUGAAGUUUGCUGAAGAAGAAAAAAAUAGGGUCUUUUUUUUUUUUUUGCAAAGUAAUAGGUUAUAAAAGUGAAAAUUAAAGGAACAAUAGAGGACUUAAAAAUUUUUUUUUUAAUUAAAAAAAAAAAAGAAAGAAUGAUCGUAAAAAUAAUAAAAAUAUAUCUAGGACUUUUUUGUUUCUUUUUUUGUGGGUGUUGUGGGUUCAGUUCAUUUUUGGCUAGUUCCUUGGUCAGAUUUAUAUUUCUCAAGAUCUAUAGGCCCCUUCCUAUGUAGUCCGUAGUAACCACAGGGUUUUGAUCUAUUGCCUGUAGCUUCCAAGGCGUUUCCCUCUGUUAUAUCUUCUUCUGUUUGCUAGUCUCUUCAGUAUCUGGUUUCCGCCCUGACUCAAAGGGCACGGUGGAGGACACUUUUUUUUUUUUUUUUUUUUUUUUAGGCUUACUUGUUCAGUCGCGCUGUGGGGAGGGAGGGAGGGAUGCUGCAAACAAAUAACACUGGCGUGGGCUCGCAGUGCCUCAGCCACCCUGGGUCUGCCCCCGCUCACGGCGCGUGUAGCCUCCCUGUCCACACUGCUCGGACUCUAGGUUGUUCCGUCGGGAACAAUCCGAGGCUGGCCCUGGGCUGCAUGCACCUCCCAGGUCCAAGCCGCUCAGGUUCAGGCACUCGGGUAGUCCUCGGAGGCGCAGACUCAGUUGGGCCUGCGUUUUGUACUCUUCCCAGGUCCGAGCGCCAAUUUGCUCUUCCCAGGCGAGCGCCAAUGCUGCGACUUAUCGCCUCCCCGCCACUCGGUUAUCUGGAUGUAAAACCGGCGCACCUUCUCAGGCAGAUGUUGACCGUCCAGACCCCCAAGAAGUUUUAGUUAGCAAAGAAGCCUGCUUACAAUUUUAUAGAUAAUGUCUCUCUGGGGCUGCGAUUGCCCCCUUCCGGCUCUGGCUGCCUGUCUCCGGAGGGGGAAGGUCUGCAGCCGGCUAUCUCUGUUCAGUCCUUUGUUCCGUGCGCGGGCCUGGCGGUCUUAGGUUAGGGCUGGCUUUUUGCGUGGUAGGUAUCCCACAGUCUGGUUUGCUAGCCCAAAUUAUUUCGCUCAGAUAGCGCUCAGGGUAUUCAGGCCAGAUUCUUACUCUCAGCGAUGCAGCCCACGCCGCGCCUCCCUGCCCAGCCCCGAUUCGCUAAUGGCGGAUGCAGGCGUCUGCGCUGCUUCUCUGCUGGGGGAGUUACCGUAGGGCUCGCAAUCUGCGAGUUUUAAAUUGUUUAUUUAUUUUUUCUCCCUGUUAUGUUGCCCUCUGUGCUUCCAAAGCUCGGCACAGAUUCGGCAGUGAGAAGGUUUCCUGAUGUUUGGAAACUUCUCUCUUUUUAAGAUUCCCUUCCCGGGACGGAACUCCGUCCCUCCCUCUUUUGUCUCUUUUUUUUUGUUUUU